CAUGUCCUACAUGGAUUACAGCCGUAUAGCGCAUCAUAAAAGAAUGGUAGCCAACAUUUCGGCCACACCAAGGAGUAUGGUGGCAUGGUAUUUAUCGCAAGUCCUAUCCCAAACCAACAAAGCCGAUCAACUAUUGCAAUUCGCAGCUCUGCCCAGGGAAAGUACGUCACCUGACCUGUGAUUCGAAACACAACAUCGAAGUGGGCCCUGAACUAUCACUUGGAGCCGUUCAGAACUGGCUCUGGAAAUCAUUCAGUACGAAUAUCUGGAGAGAGCGGCACAACACAGAGAACGGCAGCAAAUAUCGAAAUCACAGGGAACAUAAAGUGCUGGAAUAAGAUGAAUCCAACUAUUAACAAUCCACGUUC